GCAACAACCAGUCCAGGAAGGAGGGUCUGCUGACCACUGCGGUGCUGGCUCAGAAGUCGCCAAUGAGUGGAGAGCAGCGGGACGCGCCUAAAGCCCACAGCACUGGUAGUCAGAAAAAAUUCUAGGUGUCCUGACCUCACUUACCAGCGAUUACAAAUUUUCAGCAAUUCUACAAAUCCAGAGCUUCCGAAUCCUGAUCAAGCAUGUCUGGAGUCUCCCACACCACGUUAUCCUCCAGGAACUUGGCUAUGAAAGGAGGAGGAACUUGCGAGAUAAUCAGACAUCUGUACCUUUCUGUGACGCCUGCUCUUUCUGGCUUAUCCUCCUUGGCCACCAGCCUGAUGCUGAAUGUGAUACUCCACAUUCCCGGACCAACACAAGGCUCUUCUGGCUGCCUGGCUGGCAGGGAGGUUCUUCCAUGCCUUUUGACCAGCUCCUUCAGAAGGAGUUUUCCACGUCAGAUGGUCAGGUUCCCAGAAACAGAGGUCCUUCUUUUCCUUCCUGCCUCUGGUGUCUCCUUCUCAGACAAGAGAGGGCUCCAAGGGUGGAGAGGUGCUGCGGCAGGCAACGGCCAGGGCAGCUUCACGCUCUUCUUGGAAUAGCCUUUCCACGGAUGUCCGGGCUCUGGCACUUUCCUCCAGCCACACUUCCUAGUUGUCUCCUUUCUGUUCAGUUCAUGGGUCAAAUCCCAAGUGUGCUCAGGAUUCAUGUUUUCUCUUUCAGACUGGCUCCCAGAUUUUUCCAAGAGAGAGAGGCUGAGUGGAGUGUCCCUCCCAUCUAUCUGCACGUUCCGUGGCAGUUGGGCAGUUGGGCAGCUUGAUGGCAGGUUGGGGCUGGUCCAGGGGGCAGUGUGACCUGGUGCCCAAAAAGGACUCACAGCCUCUGUCUGACCCCUACACAGAUACCACUACAUAUCGUGCAAAUACUACUCCCAAGUUUCAUUCUGGUGUUUAGCAACAUACAUUAGGUCCUUUUAUUGUAUAAUCAAAUUUAGGAGUUUUUUUUUUUUUUACCACUCACAAUUUGUUCCAUUAUCAUUUUACAUUCACAGUGUCCCAGUAAUCUAAACUAUAACGCUCAGAGGAAAGAGACUUCCUCUGAAAACCUUCAAAUGGGAUAAUAAAAUUUCCCUACUAGUUAUUAUAAAGUUUGUCAAGUCACACUAUUUAAAACAGUCUGGCUUUAGCAAAUACUCAGACAAAUGCAUCAAGUGACAAUAGGAAAUCAUGAAACAUACCUUCUAUCACCAUGCAAUAUGUGAGUUAAAAAAAAUUUGCAUGCUAGAGAGGAGGAAUCCUAUCAUUCCAUCAAUAGUUCUAGAAAAAUCGGAUAUUUGGAUAAAAUAUAAAGGCAGAGCUUCAUGUAACUAUUAAUUCAGCUGUAUAGUCAUGUUAACGUAAUUUCAGGCAGGCCAAUUUUCCUUACAGUGCCAGACACUAUUCUAGGUAGUGAGGUUGUAUCUGUGAAAUAUAAAGACAAGGACCCUGACUUAUUCUAAUGAGGAUAAACUUACACUAAACAAAUGAAUAAAUAAAACAAUUUUUAAAAAUCUCAGAAUCUAAACCCUAUGAGGGAAAUAAAGAGAGUGAUGAGCUACGGAAGAAAUGGGGAGAAGGUAGAGUGACUUCUGACAGGGUGGUCUAGGAAGAUGGGAUCUGACCAGAGGCUGCAAGAGUGAUCUCUUCAGCUAAGACAUGGGAAGGGGCAAGGUGUCCAUCGAUGACAGUGGGGAGGAGCUGGGAUAUUGCAGGAGGAAGGAGGAAGGGCCUGGAGGAGGCAACAGAGAGCAAGGAGAACACUCCUACUGUGCCCUAGUCCUGCAGGGUAGGGGAGGAAUAGAAGGAGAUAAAUGGCCUCCAACUGGGAGAAUUCUGGAGAAAUGCGAUUCUCUGGGGAGAGCAAGGCUUCGGUAAAGGCAAAGUCAUGAAAGGUUGGAGGAGGAUUUGCUGUUUCCAUGCGAGGGGGUCUAAAGUGGGCAGUGGAGGCUUUGCAGGGUCAGGGUGGGGAGUGCAAAGCAGGAGCAUGGGAGGUGUCCCGAGCAGGAAGGGGAUGGAAGUUCAGGUGGUUCCUGAGCUUAACAGGACACCUUAACUCUGACCACCUGCUGGGGGAAUAGUCUGUGACUUUGAGAGAGGGCACUGGGCUCAUUUUUCACACUUGCCACUGGCUCAUUCAUGCAGAAUUAACCAUAGAUUUGCCGUAGGAUCCAGAAAUUCUACUUAUGGGUAUGUACCCCCAAAAUUAAAAGAAGUGACUAGAACACACAUUUAUAUACUCAUGUUCAUAGCAGCAUUAGCACAGCAGCCAAAAGGUGCAAGCUAAACAAGUAUCCAUCAAUGAAUGCAUGCAUACGUGAAAUUUGGUAUAUAUACAUACAGUAGAAUAUUACUCAACCUUAACAAGGAGGAAAUUCUGACACAUGCUACAACAUGGAUGAAACUUACAGGCCUAUUGAGUUAAGUAAGCCAGUCAUGGAAGACAAAUAUUGUAUGACCCCACAUAUAUAAGGUUCCUAGAAUAAGUAGUCAAAUUCUCAGAGACAGAAAGUAACAUGGUGGUUACCAUGGCUUUGGGGAGAGGGUAAUAUGUUAGUGUAAGGUGGGUACUGAACUUCAGUUUGGGAAGAUAAAGAGUUCUGGAGAUAGAUGGUGGUGAUAGUUGCACAUCAAUGAAUGCACCUAAUGCCACUGAAUUGCUCACUUAAAAACAGUUAAAAUAGCACAAUUUAUGUUAUGUACAUUUAACCACAAUUUAACAAAAUGCUUCAUAUUGCCCCACAUUAGGAGGCACAAGAUGACGGGCUGAUGCAUUAUUCAUGAUACCAGCAACCAGCUUUCUCCAUCACAAAGUUACCUUUUUCCCUUUACCAUUAGGAGAUAUCUGUGUGUCAUUAUUUUUUUAGCAUCAUCAACUUUCCAUUUAAUGAUUUUAGCAUUCAUUGAUGAUCCUUGCCCGAAUCAAAUAUCUAUCAGGAGCUAGUCAAUGGG